UUGAACGCUGGCGGCAUGCUUUACACAUGCAAGUCGAACGGUAACAGGUUAAGCUGACGAGUGGCGAACGGGUGAGUAAUGCAUCGGAACGUGCCCGAUCGUGGGGGAUAACGCAGCGAAAGCUGCGCUAAUACCGCAUACGAUCUGAGGAUGAAAGCGGGGGACCUGCAAAGGCCUCGCGCGCUUGGAGCGGCCGAUAUCGGAUUAGCUAGUUGGCGGGGUAAAGGCCCACCAAGGCGACGAUCCGUAGCGGGUCUGAGAGGACGACCCGCCACACUGGAACUGAGACACGGUCCAGACUCCUACGGGAGGCAGCAGGGGGGAAUUUUGGACAAUGGGGGCAACCCUGAUCCAGCCAUUCCGCGUGAGUGAAGAAGGCCUUCGGGUUGUAAAGCUCUUUCAGCAGGAGCGAAACGGUCGUUUUUAAUACAGACGGCUAAUGACGGUACCUGCAGAAGAAGCACCGGCUAACUACGU
rnacentral:rRNA from 1 species